UAGCAUUAGAAAAUUUAAUCAAGAAAGAGCCUUGAAGGCAGUUGGUGGCGUCGGACACCAAAUCCACGGAGAGAGGGUCGACUACUGCUCUAGACUUUGUCCGUUCGGAAGCACUUCGGAAGGGAAAAGCUUUGGCGUGAGAGUUCGUGGCACCUGUUCGGCAUUGAGUGUAGAGUUGUUUUCAGGUGAUGUUCGGAGUCUCACGACCGUUUCGAGGCAUUCGUCAGAGGCGUUUAAGUGAGCUAUUUGAGAUCUUGCAACCCAGAGUCUCUUCUUAGAUUUCUGUUAUUCCUUAUCCUUAAACAGAAGUCGUAUCCAGUUUGAGUCUGUUAUUUACUUCAAAUUGUAAACUUCUUAGAAGCUCUUGUACAAGUCUAGACCACAUUUUGGGAAUUUCUUAUAAUAAAAGUAAUUCUUCCGCAUUGGUUUUAAUAUUUAAACUGUUGGAGUAUGUUUACAUAUUGUUAUUCCGUAUGUUUUAUCAAAUUGAGGUAGUUAGGGGAAGGGUUCGCCCACCAGGGGGGUAAGUGUAGGUGCCCGCAUGAUCCGUGAUUUGGGUC